UNGAAUGUGAGCCACUCAGACAGGGCCUGG
rnacentral:piRNA from 1 species